CCUACGGGUGGCUGCAGUGAGGAAUAUUGGUCAAUGGCCGCAGGGCUGAACCAGCCAAGUCGCGUGAGGGAUGACGGUCCUAUGGAUUGUAACCCUCUUUUGUCAGGGAGCAAAGGGCGCCACGUGUGGCGUUUUGCGAGUACCUGAAGAACAAGCAUCGGCUAACUCCGUGCCAGCAGCCCCUAUAAUACGGAGGAUGCGAGCGUUAUCCGGAUUUAUUGGGUUUAAAGGGUGCGCAGGCGGAAUGUCAAGUCAGCGGGAAAAUUUCGGGGCUCAACCCCGUCGUGCCGUUGAAACUGGCGUUAUUGAGGGAGCGAGAAGUAUGCGGAAUGCGUGGUGUAGCGGUGAAAUGCAUAGAUAUCACGCAGAACUCCGAUUGCGAAGGCAGCGCACUGGACUGCAACUGACACUGAUGCUCGAAAGUGUGGGUAUCAAACAGGAUUAGAUACCCCAGUAGUC
rnacentral:rRNA from 1 species